CCCCAGUUCACCUGGCUCUAAUCAGAGACAAUCCGCAGAACACAGUACAGUUUCACAGCAGGAUAAAAGCUGGUUUCUAUAAGUUUUUCAGAUGUCUUCUCAUUCUUCACACCAGAAAGAGAGUCUGGUCUACCAAAACCACUGCCGGAGCUGAGCUCAGAGGUACCACAGCAGGGAUACUUCACCGUCAAUACUUGCAAAGAGCACUGCGUCAUUCACUUGACAGGAAUGAGACUCCCUGUCCUGUCUUCAGUCCUGUCUUCAGUUACUCAACAGCUCUCAAGGCCACAUCUGUGUCCUGCCAAUUACAUUCUAGAAACAAACAAGCAAAGAAAUAAAUGCUUGGAACCACCUGUGAUUUAAAGAACUUGUAUUAGUGCUUAGAUGAACAGCAACAACCCACAGACAUAAAUAAUACAUGCCAGUAAGGCCAUGGAAGGAAGGAUUGACAAUGGCAGGCAUUUCCAAAAGUGUGUGUCAACAAUCCAUUUAAAGAGCAUAACAUCCUACAUAGUACUUGGGGUGUUUAUGGUUUAUAUUUUGCUUCUUUUAUUUUCAUGCAAAUGCUAGACAGGAAAGAAUGACUUUUCUAUUCUCUUCUAACAGAGUCUAGGCAGCUUUACUUGUGGCCAAGCAGAGAGCUAACUGUAAAAUAAUCACAAAGUGGGGACAAAACAUGCUCAGAACUAGCAUAAACAAUGAGAAGGUCCACAAUAGCAGAUUCUAUGUAGAAUUUUUUCUGCCCCCAAACAGUUGUUUAGAAGAGAAUGUAUUUCACAUUCUCUGAAGACUUUUCAUUUUUCCCUGUAUAGUACUUCACUUGGCCAAUUCUAUUACCAUCUGAAUUCUAGUCACCAGCAUUCAAAAACUUCAUGUACUGUCUCAGUCAGCACAGGCUGCUGUAACCAGAAUGCACAGCCCCCAUGGAUUAAAAAGCACACAUUCAUUUCUCACAGUUUGGGAGGUAGGAAGUCAAGAGUUGGGGUGUCAACAACUGAGGGAUUCUGGAGAGGACACACGUGAUCGUUUAAGUUAUCAAGUUGGCAUAAACUAGAGCAGAGUCUCAGGGGGAGAUUUCCCAGGUCAGCCUUGCCUGUGGCAUGUUUGUGAGGGGACUGUCAUGAUUAUAGGACUUGAUGGCAACAUGGGCAGCAGCAUUCCCUGGGCUUGGCUCCUGGACUGUAUAAGCAGGAGGGGAUGGGAGAUCCAUCACAUAGGCAUUAACUCAUUAUGCGUUGUUCUUGGUCAUGGAUACAAUGUGACUGAUGCUUCAAACUCUUGUCAUCUUAACUUCCCUGAGAUGGAUGGCUGUGCCCUGGCACUGUGAGCUAGGUAAGACCUGGUGGUUCUUGUAGCCAUAGUUAUUAAGACAUGGUUUCACUAAACAAAUUUACUAGGUAACAUCCUAUCUUACUUCAAGUAAAUCAAAAACUAUUCCAAGAGGUUUUGUUUUUUUUUUUUGUUUUUUUUUUUGUUUUUGUUUUUGUUUUUUCUGUUUAAGACUAUGAGUUACCGGAAGGCUCCACAGAAACCACAGUCCAUGCUUUUACAUGUUCACAUUUAUCUCAUUUCAGAAAAUAAUCACUGGGGCUAGCUAUGUCCUGUGGUUCAGAGGUAAGUAAGACACAGAUCCUAUUCAAUGGGCUAACAACCUGAGAAUAAACAUAUAAACACAUAGUCAACUGCACAACACUGUAAGAAGCAUGGAAGUCAGCAUGGAUACUGGAUUCCAGGAGAACACGAGUGCAAAGGGUCCUCCCUGGAAUGGUAUGUAGCUGCAGAAUAGAUUCAUGCUUGUAAUAAUUUAAUCUCCACUGUCAACCUGACUGGACUUAGAACCACCUGGGAGACUGGAAAGGCACAUUUCCGGAUGUGUCUGUGAGGGUGUUUCUAGACAAAAAUAAUUGAGAAGGAAAGACCAGUUCGUAGGUUGGGAAGCUUUUUUUUUUUUUUUAAUGGAAAAGAAGAAAGCCAGCCAGUCACAAUGAUGCAAUUUCUGCUUUGAAAUAUCUUCCCUGUCACCCUCUGAACUGCUAAACAAAAUAAAUCUAAGUUUAACUUG